rnacentral:tRNA from 1 species
GCGGGUAUAGUUUAGUGGUAGAACAUCCGCCUUCCAAGCGGAAAACGAGAGUUCGAUUCUCUCUACCCGCA